rnacentral:rRNA from 1 species
UACGUAGGGGGCAAGCGUUGUCCGGAAUCAUUGGGCGUAAAGAGCGUGUAGGCGGCUCGGUAAGUCCGCUCUGAAAGCCCGGGGCUCAACCCCGGGAGGCGGGCGGAUACUGUCGGGCUAGAGUCCGGAAGAGGCGAGUGGAAUUCCUGGUGUAGCGGUGAAAUGCGCAGAUAUCAGGAGGAACACCAAUGGCGAAGGCAGCUCGCUGGAACGGUACUGACGCUGAGACGCGAAAGCGUGGGGAGCAAACAGG